rnacentral:rRNA from 1 species
ACUAACGCUGGCGGUAUGCCUUAGACAUGCAAGUCGAACGAGUUUCCGGGCUUGCUCGGAAAUUAGUGGCGAACGGCUGAGUAACGCGUAGGUGACCUACCCCGUAGUGAGGAAUAACUGCCCGAAAGGGUAGCUAAUACCUCAUGUUGAGACGCUUUCAUUAGCGUCUCCAAAGCAGUAAUGCGCUAUGGGCGGGGCCUGCGUUCGAUUAGCUAGUUGGUGAGGUAAUGGCUCACCAAGGCGACGAUCGAUAGGUGGUCUGAGAGGACGAUCACCCAGACUGGGACUGAGACACGGCCCAGA